rnacentral:rRNA from 1 species
GAUGAACGCUGACAGAAUGCUUAACACAUCAGCCAUUGAUUGUUGGCGGACGGGUGAGUAACGCGUACAGCACUUACCUCACAGUUCGUGACAACAUUUGGAACCGAAUGCUAAUACCUAAUACUGUUUGAGGGCUUUGCGUCCUAUUAGCUAGUUGGAGUGGUAACGGCUCACCAAGGCUAUGAUGGGUCGCCGACCUGCGAGGGUGAUCGGCCAAAAGGCGACUGGGACACAGCCCUUACGCCUACGUGAUGCAGCAGUGGGAGAUAUUGGACAAUGGACCAAAGUCUGAUCAAGCAAUUCGGUGUGCACAAUGAAGGUUUCGGAAUGAAAAGUGCUUUCAUUUGGGAAGCGGUACCAACAGAAGAAGGGACGGCUAAAUACGUGCCAGCAGCCGCGGUAAUAC